CAAGUCGAGCGGACGGAAGGAGAGCUUGCUCUCCUGACGUUAGCGGCGGACGGGUGAGUAACACGUGGGCAACCUGCCUGUAAGACUGGGAUAACUUCGGGAAACCGGAGCUAAUACCGGAUAAACCCUUUUCUCGCAUGAGGGGAGGUUGAAAGAGGGCUUUUCGCUCUCACUUACAGAUGGGCCCGCGGCGCAUUAGCUAGUUGGUGAGGUAACGGCUCACCAAGGCGACGAUGCGUAGCCGACCUGAGAGGGUGAUCGGCCACACUGGGACUGAGACACGGCCCAGACUCCUACGGGAGGCAGCAGUAGGGAAUCUUCCGCAAUGGACGAAAGUCUGACGGAGCAACGCCGCGUGAGCGAAGAAGGUCUUCGGAUCGUAAAGCUCUGUUGUUAGGGAAGAACAAGUACCGUUCGAAGAGGGCGGUACCUUGACGGUACCUAACGAGAAAGCCACGGCUAACUACGUGCCAGCAGCCGCGGUAAUACGUAGGUGGCAAGCGUUGUCCGGAAUUAUUGGGCGUAAAGCGCGCGCAGGCGGUUCCUUAAGUCUGAUGUGAAAUCUCGCGGCUCAACCGCGAGCGGUCAUUGGAAACUGGGGNACUUGAGUGCAGGAGAGGGGAGCGGAAUUCCACGUGUAGCGGUGAAAUGCGUAGAGAUGUGGAGGAACACCAGUGGCGAAGGCGGCUCUCUGGCCUGUAACUGACGCUGAGGCGCGAAAGCGUGGGGAGCGAACAGGAUUAGAUACCCUGGUAGUCCACGCC
rnacentral:rRNA from 1 species